AAGUCGUAACAAGGUUUCCGUAGGUGAACCUGCGGAAGGAUCAUUAUCGAGAUGGGCUUGCCCAACCUCCAUCCGUGUCGUUAUACUAGUAUUUGGGGGCGCAAUGCCCCCGACCAACCUCUAUCACCUGUGUUGUGACCCAAGCAAAUGAUAAAACUUUCAACAACGGAUCUCUUGGUUCCGGCAUCGAUGAAGAACGCAGCGAAAUGCGAUAAGUAAUGUGAAUUGCAGAACUCAGUGAAUCAUCGAAUCUUUGAACGCACAUUGCGCCCGCUGGCAUUCCGGCGGCAUGCCUGUUUGAGCGUCAUUACAACUGUCAAGCGUGCCAUGCUUGGUGCUGGGUUUGCCGUUGGCUCACCCGAAAUGCAUGGGCGGCGAAGGUCUGGUCCCAACGUAGUACGAUUUGUGAUCUCGUUGCUGCCAGGCGCUCGCCCCGAACUUCUCAACCGUUGACCUCAAAUCAGGUAGGGAUACCCGCUGAACUUAA
rnacentral:rRNA from 1 species